rnacentral:rRNA from 1 species
UGGGGGAUAUUGCACAAUGGGCGAAAGCCUGAUGCAGCGACGCCGCGUGGGGGAUGAAGGCUUUCGGGUUGUAAACCUCUUUCGCUAUCGAACAAGGCCCGCUUAGGGUGGGUUGAGGGUAGGUGGAGAAGAAGCGCCGGCUAACUACGUGCCAGCAGCCGCGGUAAUACGUAGGGCGCGAGCGUUGUCCGGAAUUAUUGGGCGUAAAGGGCUUGUAGGCGGCUUGUUGCGCCUGCUGUGAAAACGCGGGGCUUAACUUCGCGCGUGCAGUGGGUACGGGCAGGCUUGAGUGUGGUAGGGGUGUCUGGAAUUCCAGGUGUAGCGGUGGAAUGCGCAGAUAUCUGGAGGAACACCGAUGGCGAAGGCAGGUCACUGGGCCAUUACUGACGCUGAGGAGCGAAAGCAUGGGUAGCGAACAGG